UUAGGAAUUUUGCGCAAUGGACGAAAGUCUGACGCAGCAACUCCGCGUGAGGGACGAAGGCCUUCGGGUUGUAAACCUCUUUUAGUUGGGACGAAAUAAAUGACGGUACCAGCAGAAACAGCACCGGCUAACCCUGUGCCAGCAGCCGCGGUAAUACAGGGGGUGCGAGCGUUAUUCGGAAUUAUUGGGCGUAAAGAGCGCGUAGGCGGUUUACUAAGUUUGGUGUGAAAGCCCUGGGCUCAAUCCAGGAAGCGCAUUGAAUACUGGUAGACUUGAGUAUUGGAGAGGCAGGCGGAAUUCCCGGUGUAGAGGUGAAAUUCGUAGAUAUCGGGAGGAACAACAGUGGCGAAGGCGGCCUGCUGGACAAUUACUGACGCUAAGGCGCGAAAGCGUGGGGAGCAAACAGGAUUAGAUACCCCCGUAGUCC
rnacentral:rRNA from 1 species